UACAGAGGUCUCAAGCGUUGUUCGGAUUCAUUGGGCGUAAAGGGUGCGUAGGCGGCGCGGUAGGUCGGGUGUGAAAUCUCGGAGCUUAACUCCGAAACUGCAUUCGAUACUGCCGUGCUUGAGGACUGGAGAGGAGACUGGAAUUUACGGUGUAGCGGUGAAAUGCGUAGAUAUCGUAAGGAAGACCAGUGGCGAAGGCGGGUCUCUGGACAGUUCCUGACGCUGAGGCACGAAGGUCAGGGGAGCAAACGGG
rnacentral:rRNA from 1 species